AGGAGUGGGCUUUCCUCUAUAGGAAAGCUUAAGGUACGUGCUAAUCCCAUGGGAAACCAUGUCUCUAUAAUAAGGCCCGAUAAGCCAAGGUAUAGGGAGACCAUAGCGAUAUGGUUGGUUGUCCGGUCACAUCUCGUAUGUGCUGGACAAAAUGCUGUGAUGCCCUUAGAUGUUCUGGGCCGCACGCGCGUUACACUGACGGAGCCAGCGAGUACCUCCUUGACAGAGAUGUCCGGGUAAUCUUGUGAAAC
rnacentral:rRNA from 1 species